AUUGAACGCUGGCGGCAGGCUUAACACAUGCAAGUCGAGCGGAGAUGAGGUGCUUGCACCUUAUCUUAGCGGCGGACGGGUGUGUAAUGCUUAGGAAUCUGCCUAUUAGUGGGGGACAACAUUCCGAAAGGAAUGCUAAUACCGCAUACGUCCUACGGGAGAAAGCAGGGGAUCUUCGGACCUUGCGCUAAUAGAUGAGCCUAAGUCGGAUUAGCUAGUUGGUGGGGUAAAGGCCUACCAAGGCGACGAUCUGUAGCGGGUCUGAGAGGAUGAUCCGCCACACUGGGACUGAGACACGGCCCAGACUCCUACGGGAGGCAGCAGUGGGGAAUAUUGGACAAUGGGGGGAACCCUGAUCCAGCCAUGCCGCGUGUGUGAAGAAGGCCUUAUGGUUGUAAAGCACUUUAAGCGAGGAGGAGGCUACUGAGACUAAUACUCUUGGAUAGUGGACGUUACUCGCAGAAUAAGCACCGGGUAACUCUGUGCCAGCCGCCGCUGUAA
rnacentral:rRNA from 1 species